GAACGCACCUUGCGCCCUUUGGCUAUUCUGAAGGGUAUGCUCGUUUGAGUGUCAUUGUACUCUCACACUCUCUGAUCCUUUGGAUUCAGGGAGCGGUGGACUUGGGUGUUUGCUGCUUUUCCUUGUGGCUCACCUCAAAUGUGUUAGUGCACCUCUUGGUUGGACAUAGAACGGCGUGAUAAGUGUCUUCGCCGGCGCCUCGCAAGAGGGUGGCCAAUUGGGAGCUCUGUGCUUUCAAACCGUCUUCGGACAAUCUUUGACAACUUGACCUCAAAUCGAGUAGGACUACCCGCUGAACUUAAG
rnacentral:misc_RNA from 1 species